rnacentral:rRNA from 1 species
UAAGUACGAGACGCUACGGCGUUGAAGCAGUGUAUGUCAGACUUCCAAGAAAAGCUCGCAAUGUCAUAAACAAAUAAUGCCUGUACCAUAACCGACACAGAUGGGUAGGUAGAGUAUACUAAGGGGCGCGAGAUAACUCUCUCUAAGGAACUCGGCAAAAUGUCUCCGUAACUUCGGGAGAAGGAGUGCCUUAUUUUUAUAAGGUUGCAAUAACAAGAUCCAAGCAACUGUUUACCAAAAACACAGGUCUCCGCUAAGUCGUAAGACGAUGUAUGGGGGCUGACGCCUGCCCAGUGCCAGAAGGUUAAAGAAGUUGGUUAGCAAUAGCGAAGCUGAUAACUGAAGCCCUGGUGAACGGCGGCCGUAACUAUAACGGUCCUAAGGUAGCGAAAUUCCUUGUCGGGUAAGUUCCGACCCGCACGAAAGGCGUAAUGAUUUGGAUACUGUCUCGGAGAGGGGCUCGGUGAAAUAGACUUGUCUGUGAAGAUGCGGACUACCUGCACCAGGACAGAAAGACCCUAUGAAGCUUUACUGUAACUUGAAAUUGAAAUUGGACUUUACUUGCGCAGUAUAGGUGGGAGGCGUUGAUUUUAUUCUUGCGGGAAUUUAGGAGCCAUCAGUGAGAUACCACUCUGGUAAUGUUAGAUUUCUAACUUUGUAUCAUAAUCUGGUCAAAGAACAGUUUCAGGCGGGCAGUUUGACUGGGGCGGUCGCCUCCCAAACGGUAACGGAGGCGUACAAAGGUUUCCUCUGAACGUGUAGAAAUCGUAUCUAGAGUGUAAAGGCAUAAGGAAGCUUGACUGUGAGACCUACAAGUCGAGCAGGGACGAAAGUCGGUCUUAGUGAUCUGACGGUGCUGAGUGGAAAGGCCGUCACUCAACGGAUAAAAGUUACUCUAAGGAUAACAGGCUGAUCUCCCCCAAGAGUUCACAUCGACGGGGAGGUUUGGCACCUCGAUGUCGGCUCAUCGCAUCCUGGGGCGGUAGUACGUCCCAAGGGUUGGGCUGUUCGCCCAUGAAAGCGGUACGCGAGCUGGGUUCAGAACGUCGUGAGACAGUUCGGUCCAUAUCCGGUGUAGGCGUUAGAAUAUUGAGAGGAUCCUUCUUUAGUACGAGAGGACCGAGAAGGACAUACCUCUGGUGUACCAGUUAUCGUGCCAACGGUAAACGCUGGGUAGCUAUGUAUGGAAAGGAUAACCGCUGAAAGCAUCUAAGUGGGAAGCCUACCUCAAGAUAAGUAUUCUCAUCACGUAAGUGAGUAAGGUCACGGUAAGACUAACCGUUUGAUAGGCAUCAAGUGUAAAUGUAGUAAUAUAUGAGCUGAGAUGUCCUAACAGACCGAGGAC